rnacentral:rRNA from 1 species
AAAUUGACGGGACCGCACAAGCGGUGGAUGAUGUGGUAUUAAUUCGAUGCAACGCGAAAACCUUACCUACCCUUGACAUGUCCGGAAUCCCGAAGAGAUUUGGGAGUGCUCGCAAGAGAACCGGAACACAGGUGCUGCAUGGCUGUCGUCAGCUCGUGUCGUGAGAUGUUGGGUUAAGUCCCGCAACGAGCGCAACCCUUGUCAUUAGUUGCCAUCAUUUGGUUGGGCACUCUAAUGAGACUGCCGGUGACAAACCGGAGGAAGGUGGGGAUGACGUCAAGUCCUCAUGGCCCUUAUGGGUAGGGCUUCACACGUCAUACAAUGGUCGGUACAGAGGGUUGCCAACCCGCGAGGGGGAGCUAAUCCCACAAAGCCGAUCGUAGUCCGGAUCGCAGUCUGCAACUCGACUGCGUGAAGUCGGAAUCGCUAGUAAUCGUGGAUCAGCAUGUCACGGUGAAUACGUUCCCGGGUCUU